GCCGCCUUAGCUCAGUCGGCAGAGCGAUUCACUCGUAAUGAAUAGGUCAGGAGUUCGAUUCUCCUAGGCGGCUCCG
rnacentral:tRNA from 1 species